GGGAUUCUCAACAAAAAAAGGUGGCCCAAAAGGGACACGGGCUUGACCUUACCCCCAACGAAUUCUCUCUCCCAGGAACCAAGAAAGAAAACCCUAACCCUGGCGUACGUAUCGCCGCCGCCGCCCCAAAAUUCGCCAGCCCCGAAUCCGUCUACAUGACCUAAUUUCUACACCCCCAAAUCCAAUUCGGACUCGAUGCUCUAACAGUUUAUUUACCGAGCCGGCUCGAUCGAUCUCUUCAUACGAAUAUUUCGUUUUUUUGCAGAUCCGUAGAUUUGCAAAUCUAAGUGAUUCCUCCUGCAGAGGGCAAGUUCGAUCUACGAAUUUGGUGUUUCAGGACUCAUGGCUCUCUCUCACGAGGAGGUGGAGCAGGAGGAGGAGGAGGAGGAGGAGGAAGACGAUGAUCUUGAGGACGGCCCCCUAAGCCCCGAGGAUGUGCUGCGAUUUGUCGAGAGAGUUGGUUCCGUGGAACUUGCCAAGAGGAAAUUGUUGAUGAAAGACACUAUGGGGGUUCCGCCCGAACCCUAUGACUGGCCCAACAUCUGCCCGCUCCCCGGGUCGUCCAGAGAUCGGAGGUCUGCGUGUGAUCUUUACUGGCACCAGGCCUACCAGAUGAAUCAAGUCUCCGAGACUUGCCUGCCUCCUAUGCGGUAUACUCGCUGUUGCAAUGAAGCUUCAACUGGGCAGCAAAGGUGUUUUCACAAGCCGCGCCCUAUACUCCAACUCUUUUCUACCACGGUGCAUACCUUUCUGGAAGAUUGCACCAGACCAGUCGAGGUAUACGGUUAUAUUGCGGUCCGAGAUGACGAGGAUUAUCGCCGCAAUUAUCUUUUCAACCGAUCCCGAGAUGACCCGCUCACUAUCAACUCGGCCGGCGACUAUCUGCGCUUGUUGAGCCCCAAAAGAGGCAUCUCGAUGAAAUUCGAUUGCCUAGUUGAAGUGGAUAUUAGAACAAAGGCAUUGUCGGGUGAUAGUACAGAUGAUAAAAUCUUGUUGAUGGAUGCUUCGACCUAAUCGAGGGCCGGUCUAGUUUCGACGUCCUUUCUAGAAUCAAAAUGGAAGGUGAACAUGGUGCUCUUGUUUUUAAUCUUAUCAUAUUUCGAGACAGUGUCGAGGCGACCAUACAUAUGAACUUUUUGGAAGUGCCUGGAGAUGGGUUUGAUAUAAAGAUGUGUGGGUAUACUGCCAUCUGGAAGAACUUGUAUGCCUUCAUAGACGAUAAAGAAUGCGACUGCAAUAGCUUCGUGUCUUCAACUGGGAGUUUUUCACAAUAUUUUGUAGCAGCUGUGCAGAUGGAUGACACAUUGUUUAUUGAUUUUAUGGAGGGGAGUAUGCCAAUUUCAUUUAAAGCGGAUAUUCAUGGCAGCGAAGAAAAAGAAUAUUAUUUCUGUAAUAGUGCUGUGGUGUCUGUGAAAGUGUCUUGGUCGACAGUCCUCUACUAAGGAAUAUAUAUAUAUAUAUGUUGGAGGUUAACUCAAUAGUAUUUGCAGAGGAAGAGAACAAAAU
rnacentral:rRNA from 1 species